rnacentral:rRNA from 1 species
CCUACGGGAGGCAGCAGUGAGGAAUAUUGGUCAAUGGGCGGAAGACUGAACCAGCCAAGUAGCGUGCAGGAUGACGGCCCUACGGGUUGUAAACUGCUUUUAUACGGGAAUAACGCGCCUUACGUGUAGGGCUUUGCAUGUACCGUAUGAAUAAGGACCGGCUAAUUCCGUGCCAGCAGCCGCGGUAAUACGGAAGGUCCGGGCGUUAUCCGGAUUUAUUGGGUUUAAAGGGAGCGUAGGCCGCAUGUUAAGUGUGCUGUGAAAUGCCCGGGCUCAACCCGGGCCUUGCGGCGCGAACUGGCUGGCUUGAGUCCGCGGAAAGCAGGCGGAAUUCGGGGUGUAGCGGUGAAAUGCUUAGAUAUGACGAAGAACCCCGAUUGCGAAGGCAGCUUGCUGCAGCGAAACUGACGCUGAUGCUCGAAAGCGCGGGUAUCGAACAGGAUUAGAUACCCGGGUAGUC